rnacentral:sRNA from 1 species
CACUGGCAGCGCUUUGACGGGUACACAAAGGGAUUUCAUGAUCAUUGCUCCAUGAAAUCUUUCUUGCCCAUGUGCGCGCCACCAUCGUUCUACACCGUCAAAGUGUGCUCCCAGAGAAGAAAAAGCUUGCCCAUAUACACACCCUUGCUCUUGUUUUCUAGCUACAAAUACCAAGGCGAUGAUAUCGGAACCGAGAGCAGCUCAACAAUCCUUACCAUACCGUAAAUAAUAACGAAAGAGCCCAACUCAAUUUCUCCAAGGCAACCUUUUUACUUUUUUCUUUCUUUUUGUUGAUCAAAUCUACAACACA